GACGAACGCUGGCGGCGUGCUUAACACAUGCAAGUCGAACGGAAAGGCCCUGCUUUUGUGGGGUGCUCGAGUGGCGAACGGGUGAGUAACACGUGAGUAACCUGCCCUUGACUUUGGGAUAACUUCAGGAAACUGGGGCUAAUACCGGAUAGGAGCUCCUGCUGCAUGGUGGGGGUUGGAAAGUUUCGGCGGUUGGGGAUGGACUCGCGGCUUAUCAGCUUGUUGGUGGGGUAGUGGCUUACCAAGGCUUUGGCGGGUAGCCGGCCUGAGAGGGUGACCGGCCACAUUGGGACUGAGAUACGGCCCAGACUCCUACGGGAGGCAGCAGUGGGGAAUAUUGCACAAUGGGCGGAAGCCUGAUGCAGCAACGCCGCGUGCGGGAUAACGGCCUUCGGGUUGUAAACCGCUUUCGCCUGUGACGAAGCGUGAGUGACGGUAAUGGGUAAAGAAGCACCGGCUAACUACGUG
rnacentral:rRNA from 1 species